GAUGAAGAACGUAGCGAAAUGCGAUAAGUAAUGUGAAUUGCAGAAUUCAGUGAAUCAUCGAAUCUUUGAACGCACAUUGCGCCCGCCAGUAUUCUGGCGGGCAUGCCUGUUCGAGCGUCAUUUCAACCAUCAAGCCCCCGGCUUGUGUUGGGGACCUGCGGCUGCCGCAGGCCCUGAAAACCAGUGGCGGGCUCGCUAGUCACUCCGAGUGUAGUAAUACAUCUCGCUCAGGGCGUGCUGCGGGUUCCGGCCGUUAAAAAAGCCUUAUUUACCCAAGGUUGACCUCGGAUCAGGUAGGAAGACCCGCUGAACUUAAGCAUAUCAAUAAGCGGAGGA
rnacentral:misc_RNA from 1 species